AUUGAACGCUGGCGGCAGGCUUAACACAUGCAAGUCGAGCGGAGAUGAGGUGCUUGCACCUUAUCUUAGCGGUGGACGGGUGAGUAAUGCUUAGGAAUCUGCCUAUUAGUGGGGGACAACAUUCCGAAAGGAAUGCUAAUACCGCAUACGCCCUACGGGGGAAAGCAGGGGAUCUUCGGACCUUGCGCUAAUAGAUGAGCCUAAGUCGGAUUAGCUAGUUGGUGGGGUAAAGGCCUACCAAGGCGACGAUCUGUAGCGGGUCUGAGAGGAUGGUCCGCCACACUGGGACUGAGACACGGCCCAGACUCCUACGGGAGGCAGCAGUGGGGAAUAUUGGACAAUGGGCGGAAGCCUGAUCCAGCCAUGCCGCGUGUGUGAAGAAGGCCUUAUGGUUGUAAAGCACUUUAAGCGAGGAGGAGGCUACUUUAGUUAAUACCUAGAGAUAGUGGACGUUACUCGCAGAAUAAGCACCGGCUAACUCUGUGCCAGCAGCCGCCGUAAAAC
rnacentral:rRNA from 1 species